rnacentral:pre_miRNA from 1 species
AGUGGAAUAGCUGGGUCAAAUGGUUUUUCCACUCCAAGUUUUCUGAGGAAUUGCCAUACUACUUUCUAUGAUGGUUGCACCAAUUUGCAGUCCCACCAGCAAU